UAGUAGUUUGAUCAAUUGUGUUACGUUGUGUAUGGCGAAAUCGCCUCAUUCGUAACGAAAUUUUCACCGAGUGAGAAUGUAGGAGAGAAAAAUAGAGGACUAAACCUUUUUAAAAUUGUGGUUUAUUUUGUUCAUUAUCUACAUUUUUUUGUAUAAUACGAAACACCCAACUAAAUCCUUCAAAGAUUUUUUUCCAUGUUUUUUAUUUUUUGUGUGUUUGACGUUCUUCUAGCAAACGAGCGUAAUGUACGUAUGCGUAUAAAUAAUUUUGAUAACAAUUCCUUUUAAAAGCUUGCUGAAAUUAGUGUGUUAUAUAUACAGUGGCGAAAAUAUAAAUAGGGAAGAGCCAUUUUAGCAUUAUUUGGCUAUGUCCCUUUCCUUUACACCGGUACACAAAAAAAGUGGUGUGUGCUUUAAACCAGACCCACCUAUCGACAUGUUUUUCGACCCGCUGAAGCCGAAUCUGAGGUCCGUUUGACUCAUACACUCUCUAAAUUUCGAUUUUCGGGUUUUCGCAUUUUAUUCUGAAUUUUAUGGGUGUACGAGUCAAACGGACCUCAAAGUAAGUCAAAAUUUCAAACUUUGUACAAAAAUUAGCGAAAUUCGACAAACUUUCAUGAAAAUAUUGAGCUUUUUAAUUCGAUUUCUUAGAAACAUUCUGAGUAUGCAGUUUUGUAGCACAUUCAUUUGUGCAAAUUCGAAGUAGCUCCGACUUACCGUUGAUUUUUGGAAAUUUUUUUC